CUCUCCAAAUAUUAAGCAGGUAUAGAAGAUUUAUGCAUUCUUUCAUUUUUAUGUUUGAGUCUAUUUUGAUCCAAUAAAAAAAAAGCAACACAGAAAACAGAUUACCAUUUCUAUUUUCUCCAAAAUGAAAAUGGCCACUACUUGCAAUAUCAAAAUAAGAACAAUUGUGUCAAUGCACUUGGAUCGUAGCAAAUAAGUUCAUUUCUCCAGGUAGCUCAGCUCAAUUGUGUGAAUCACUAAAAUGCUCAAUUUAUUCAUUUAUUUUGUAUUUUAAUUUAUAAUUAUUUUAAACUGCAAUUUAUUAACUGUGGUUCUGAUCCUAAUAUGUGCCAGUUGAAUAAUAUGAAAUAUUAUGACAGCAGAUUAAACCCAAAACAAAUUACCUUGAGUAGGUGUAUAUUGUUUCAAAAGAAACAAUUGUCCUGCAGGGGACUAUGAGAAAUAAAUUAUGCAAUUACUUUAAUUUUCAAACUAUCAAAAGGCUUUCAAAUCAGGUAAAAAAUGAAAAAAAAACUCCCAAGACAGGCAAACCUCAGUAUAGUCUCAAUGCACACGACAUUUUAAGAUAACUAACCAAACCGCAAAGGUAAGAAAGUCCGAAGGAGGGAAUGACCCACGAAGAGCAAAUUAUGAUGUCAUAAUUUGCUCUUUGGCUUUGGACACUUCUGAUAGGUUAACUGACACAUUUGAGCUCAUUAGAGGUACACCUGUGAAUGUAUUCUAAAGCCACACCUUGAACACAUUGCUUUCUUUUUAGCAUAAAGGGGAAGUAAAAAGAAAUCUGCCAAAAUAUCAGGAAGAGAAUUUUCUGGUUCAUCCUUGAGAACAAUUUCCAGAUGCUUGAAGGAGCCGCUUUCAUCUGUUCAAACAAUUAUACGCAAGCAUAGACAUGAUGGGAAUGUCUAACCAUCAAACCCCUGAGGAAGGAGAUGGGUUUUUUUGUCCCAGAAAUGAAAGUGUUUUGGUCUGAAAUGUACAAAACAGCCUCAGAACAAAAGCCAAAGACCUUAUGACAAUGCUGGAUGAAGCUGGCAAGACAGCGUCAUCAUUCACAGUGAUGCAUGUCCUGUACCAACAUAGAUCAAAAGCCACCCAGUGCCCAAAUAUAAGAGUUUUACUUUUACUCAACUGCAGCGCUACUGUAGACCAAGCUUAAAGGUAACUCUUCAAGCUCAAGGAGAAAAAUACAGGACUUGUAUCUAGUUUACGAUGAAGACUUCUGUACUUUAAUGAGAACACCUGUCAACUUCUAUUGCACAUUAGACUCUAUCACUUCUACAUCACAUAGAAAAAUCAGAACUUGCGUGCCCCUUUCAAAAGAGAUCACUUAUUUCUCUCACAUUCUUUAAUUAUAUUUCAACUCCCAGAACGAAAUCCCCAUCAGUACAUUUCAAAGAAGCUGAUCAGCGGAAAGUAACAUGAAGGUUUACCCAGGUGACUCUGCGACAGUGAAGAUAGACAUCUUUGAGUCAGCAAGCUAUAUUUCAGAAGAAAUGCUGCACAGGGAGGCUGUUGUAGAGGUCUGACAGAGGAGAAACCUCAGCAGGAACACUUUAUUUGGUUAUUUUAUGUGGUCUAUACUACACCAAGAAAUAGGUUGCACUUGUUAAUGUUCAAACACUAAGCUAAUGUCCGCCUCUCACAAUCUGCCUUGUGUGUGGGUAGGUGAGACAUUGAGGCAAAAGAAAUGAAAUGCUAUUAUACUUUCACUCAUACAAUAUUUUCUUUAUUGGGAAAAGGUCUAACCAAGUCAUCUCCACAUAUCCAGUUGUGUUAAUCACAGUUCAUAAUCAAAUUUAAUCCCAAGCAAUGCCUCACAGCAAGAUAUUCUUUAAACUCUUUCCCACACCGACAUCGACAAGCUGCAAAUGGCUCUCUCCCACACAGCAGCCCCACUGUGUCUACAACAGUUAAAUUAUAAUGUUCCGGGGUUGUCAACAGGCAUGCUGGAGUUAUUUACAGCCAGAAAGAGGCUAUUUGCUGAAAAGGGUUUCACAUUUCUAUCCACUACAAUUUAUAGGCAAACUGAAUUUCAAAAAAGCAAUUCUAUUCAUGACAAACAUCAGAAAUUAUUUUGAACAUAUAUGACAGUCUUGCAGGUAAGCAUUUCAAAAUUUGGGACGAUAGUGUUUGAGAAAACACGUCAGACAUUACCGAUGUAAUCUGAUAUUGUCCAAAAAACAAAAAGUUCAAAUUGUUGGAUACGUUAACCGAUGCGCUUCUCCUCUAACCUUGCCAAUAUACAGUUAUAUUUCCAAAGUUCAAGCAGGUUCAUGGUUAGAUUUUUCUGUGGCAGAACAAAGUUUGAAUUAACAAUCACAUUUAUUAAUGUGCGUCAGUCCUGCUGCCUUUAACCCCGAGUUUUAAUUUGGUGCAUCAUUCAAAAUAUUUAAAGUUAUUUAUGCUUGAAUAUUAAUGUUUACAUCAAACGGUGCCUCAGCAAGGUUGUAACCAAGAAGUCUUUAAAUGGAGGCAGUGAUGAUUUUGGGCGUCACCAAAAUAAAAAGAUAAACCCAGGCAGGAAGCAGAGCUACAAUACAAUGUGGGUGACAAACAGACUCAACAUGAAGGACAAAGACUGACCAUAAUUCUGAUUGAAGCAAUUUAUCUUGAUAUUAUUCAAUAAAUAUAUUAUCCACAAGACUCUCAUAAUGAGUCUUGUGGAUAGUCUCAUAAUGAGACUAUAUACCAUUUAUUCCCAAAUGAAUCAUCAGGACUGUUUGAAAAGGAAUGAAUACAUGAGUUACACUUUUACAACUGAAUUACUGAAAUAAAUAGUUUUAUAAUAUGAUUUUUUGUUUUCAAUUAAUAAAAUCUGCAUCAACAGCAAUUACCCUCUCUUAGUCAAAACGUUUCCUCUGCUUUAAUUCAAGGUCUACUCUAAAGAACCUUGCAGGGCCAGGCAAGACAACCUUUUGACAAAAACAUUAAAUAAAUAUUUUUAAAACAUAAAUAUUAUAUAAUACAAAAUAAAAGUUAGACAUUAACAUGAAAUAGUGAAUAUGUUGAAAAUACAAUUUCAGUCCAAGUCCAAAAGCUACAUUAUUGAACACCAUCCAUCUCCAUAGAAAAAGGGGAAAAAAACAUGUAAUGAUAAACAAAUUGGAUCAAAGUAAACAAAGUGGUUCUGGUAAAUGAUGAAAAAACCAAGGCAGCAAAGUCAGAAGACACUUGGUUCAGUCAUGGACAAGAAUCUUACUGGCAUAACAAAUGAAAUCUCAGGCAAAAAUAUUUCAACUUUGCAAAAGUAAGCAGCAAACAUUCCCAUUAACUUAACAACUUUAAAUAUCUAAAUUCAAAAGUCCGACCAGAUCUGGUCUAAAUAUUCAAGUCGAAGCAUGGCCCUAGGUUUGCAUUCACACCCCAAAAUAAGCUGGAAAAUGAACAGAGAGAGCACUUAUGGACGCACCGCAGAGCAAGAAAAUGAUUGUAUCACUGUGCAUAGUGCUUUGGUAACAUCCAGUGGAAGCUGGCACUAAAACAACAUAAAAACCAAUACAGGCAGAACUGACAGCAGAGAUCUCCUCAUAGAAAAGUAUAAAUUAAUCUAAGAUCUAUGGCCUAAAAGAGUCUGGUGCAUUUUAAUGUCAUCAAAUGACAGCAAGAUGACUGAUUUGUUUGUAUUCACACUUUCUAUUUAACUUUUUUUGUAGAAGGAGUACUGAUAAAAAAUUAAAGACAUUUAAUUUAAAAACAGUGUUCAGUGUCAGUUUAAUCAUGUUCAGCAUGAGUUGCAUGCAAUUGAGCCUUUAUAUGAGCUAAAUGAGGCAACGGAUAGAUUUAGGACAGACGUUUAUAUUCAGUUCAAUAACCACUGGUGUUGAUUUCUUACCAUCUCUACACAGGUUGAGGUUUCUCAUGCAUUAUGUCAAAAUGCUAAGGUCAGAGAGAGGUCCAAGAAAUAAUGUCAGAUAUUUCUACAGCAGUGAAAUCUGGAAAAAUCUGAGCUAAAAACUGGGUGGACAGAUGCAUAUUAGAAAGAUGGAUUUAACAGUUCAUGGGACAGAAAAUAAAGCCCAGACAUACAAAUAUUUGUAUUUGUACAAGCCUGGAAAAAAGCCCCCCCAAAAAAUCUAAAAACGUUUCCAUAUGUAUUAAGCCAGUUUGCCUUUUCAUGAGCUAAAUUUCAGCCGAAAUAAAUUACUAAGAUAGCUACCACCCAUUAGUUAAUUAUCCAUUUACUAUAUUAAGCACGCUAAUUGACCUGUAUGAACCAAUUUAAAAUUUUUUUACAUUAUAUCUAACUGUGGAAACUGAUUGUUAAGGUGGGAAUUGAUGUAAAUCACAUUUCCAGAACUGCAGAACCUUUUCACAGAAAAACAGCUGCAGCUGAGGGCAGAUAAAUAGACCUCCUUUCUUCACACAAAAGCAAAAAAAAGUGGAAUAAAUAACACAGAUGAUUACAGCAAGGAUCCCAGGAAGCCAACAUAAAUAAAUGCACCUGUGGUUUCCCUGCUACAGCCUGUACUGAAGGAAAUGGUCGCUGUUCCGUACUGACAUUUUUAUAAAGUCUAGACCCAUUAUUUACAGUCCAUUUGAGCUUGUAUACCAAGCAAUUAUUUCUCAGAGUAUGGGUGUGAAGCAUUAAUAAUAGAAAACAUGUUUUCUGUAGCUUUUGAUAAAAUAGCUGAAAGUUGUCCCACCUCUCCCCUCUGUCAUGGAACAAGAUAACAACUGGGUAUGGCUUAAUUACAUUUUCAAUGCAUUUCACUUGUUUUUGUGGCAAGAGAAUAAAAGCAUUUUUUUAUUCACAAAAGUGCAUAAAUUGUUCUCUCCAGAUGCAAAAGUUUUUAAAAGGUUUGACCUCUUAACCAUGCUCUGUAAUCUAUUAUCUAUUUAAAUCAAUCAAUUAGUUCAGCUACUUGUAGCUUUCAAGAAAUGAAAUUUAGAAUUUCUGAAAGCUAUAAAUAAAAAGAAAAAUCUUUUUACAUUUUCUCCAUUUUUAAUGGAGGGAACUUUAAAAAUCACUCCAACAUCUUAUGCUGGUUAAAGGUCAAUUAAAUAGUUCUUCUUACUUAUAGAUGGCAACACAAUUCAAAUUGUGUGGUUCUUUUAGCUUUAAAUGCCUUUUAAAGUCUUUUAGAAGUUGCAAGUCAACACAUGUUAGUAAAUAUAACACUAGCUCAGAUUAGCUAGCACAAUUUGCUUCAGUGAAUCACGAAAGUAUUUGCAGAUGUAUUUCCUGAUGUCUGAAACUGCCAUGAAGAAUUAAAAAGAAUCAAUUCUCUUUCUAAAUUAAGGGAAAAUGGAUCAGUGCCAACAUGCAACUCCAAACAGUUAAAAUGGUGUGCUGAAAUAAUUCAUAAAUUCAGAAGUCAAGUCUGUUGGUGUGUGAUUAUACAGAAAAGG